rnacentral:rRNA from 1 species
UACGAAGGGGGCUAGCGUUGCUCGGAAUGACUGGGCGUAAAGGGCGCGUAGGCGGAUGGUACAGUCAGAUGUGAAAUUCCUGGGCUCAACCUGGGGGCUGCAUUUGAUACGUGCUGUCUUGAGUUCGGAAGAGGGUCGUGGAAUUCCCAGUGUAGAGGUGAAAUUCGUAGAUAUUGGGAAGAACACCGGUGGCGAAGGCGGCUCUCUGGACCGUAACUGACGCUGAGGCGCGAAAGCGUGGGGAGCAAACAGG